UACGUAGGGGGCAAGCGUUGUCCGGAUUCAUUGGGCGUAAAGAGCGUGUAGGCGGCCAGGUAGGUCGGUUGUGAAAACUGGAGGCUCAACCUUCAGAGGUCGACCGAAACCAUCUGGCUAGAGUCCGGGAGAGGAGAGUGGAAUUCCUGGUGUAGCGGUGAAAUGCGCAGAUAUCAGGAAGAACACCCGUGGCGAAAGCGGCUCUCUGGGACGGUACUGACGCUGAGACGCGAAAGCGUGGGGAGCAAACAGG
rnacentral:rRNA from 1 species